GCUCCGUUGGCCUAAUGGUUAGAGUGUCCGCCUCGGAUGCAGGAAGUCGUGGGUUUGAUCCACAGUCGAACCA